rnacentral:lncRNA from 1 species
UUACAAUUUAUUGAAUGAAAAAUUUCAAUUGAGGUCCAUAAAAGGAGAAAGAGGAAUUACAAUUGGACACUCCAUGAAGGAGAAACAUAACACUCCAUGAAGGAGGAAAAACAUCUUCAUAAGGAGGAUGAUAACACUCCAUAAGGAGGAAGAGAAACUCCAUGAAAGGAGAAAAUGAAACCUCCAUGGAAGGAGGGAUUGGAAUUCCACAUUCCAAUGAAUAUUCAAUGCACACACGUCUGUAUUUAUAGAGAAAUAUGUAGGGUAAUUAACUAACUAACUUGACUACUAACUACUAAACUAAUUUUGACAGCUGGAAGAAUAUUCUGCCUGAACUGGAAUCUGAUUUGGAAUAUUCAUGCUGAUGUGGAAGCUGCUGGAAUCUGGUGCAAUUGCAUUCCAACACACCCCCCUCAAGAUGGACUAGGAGAUCCAUCUUGAAGAUGAAAGAAAAUGAAUCAAGCAUUCAUUGCUAUUUUGCUUGCUGUCAUGGCAGUUCAGGGAAUCAAGCCCAACACAAUCACAUGCCUAUGGAAGAUCAAAGAGGUUCACAGAGAUGGAAUCAACUCUUGUACAAGUGCUUCGGCUACAAGAAUGUGAACCUGAUGCAUGGACCAUAAACUCCACCUUGCAAGCUUUUGGUGGCAGCAGGUAAAGAGUUAAUAUAAUGAAAAGUGCCAGUCAGAGAUCACUUUUUCACAAAUGUUAUCUGUAGAAGAGUUGCUGGACAUUUUUCAAACACCUUGUGUGCACAUCAUUUGGAUCUUCCACAGCACUAAAAAACUCCAUUUCAUGUGAACCAAAGAGAGAGCAUUUCAAUAGAAGAUAUCACCUGCACCAAUAAUUUUUGCGGCAAUACUUCCAAACAAAUCAGCAUCCCAAGCUGCACAGUCUCUAACCAAAUCUGUUAUUACAACAGGAUUACAAAUGCAUGCUCACUCUGAUUUAACAGCUUGAUGAUGUUAGAGAUCCAGAAGAAAAUGAAGAGAAAUUUUACUGUUGAAAUUGGUAAAUUCAGCUCGAUUGGCGAUACUUCGAAGAAGCAUACUAUUACCAGUUACACCUUUGAGCAAUCACUGUUCUUCAACGUCCUUCUAAAAAACCUCUUCAAAUUGAAUGAGAAUGAAGGUAAAUCGAAAUCCAGUGGACUGAAUCUCAAUGAUCAGUUUCAGAAGAGAGAAAACCACAGAGAUAUGAAAAUUCUGGGAAUGACACUUCCAGAAUUGUGUUGAAAUGGAAGAAACCACAGAUCUGCUUUCUUUGAGCAGAAUUCAGGAAAAAUGAGAUGAAUUAAAUCUCAGGAAAGCAGCAGCAGGUAGCAAAUUCUGCUCUGAUACCAUAUUACAAUUUAUUGAAUGAAAAAUUUCAAUUGAGGUCCAUAAAAGGAGAAAGAGGAAUUACAAUUGGACACUCCAUGAAGGAGAAACAUAACACUCCAUGAAGGAGGAAAAACAUCUUCAUAAGGAGGAUGAUAACACUCCAUAAGGAGGAAGAGAAACUCCAUGAAAGGAGAAAAUGAAACCUCCAUGGAAGGAGGGAUUGGAAUUCCACAUUCCAAUGAAUAUUCAAUGCACACACGUCUGUAUUUAUAGAGAAAUAUGUAGGGUAAUUAACUAACUAACUUGACUACUAACUACUAAACUAAUUUUGACAGCUGGAAGAAUAUUCUGCCUGAACUGGAAUCUGAUUUGGAAUAUUCAUGCUGAUGUGGAAGCUGCUGGAAUCUGGUGCAAUUGCAUUCCAACAACCUCAACCUUAGCAGCCGCUCUCCAGAAUCUCCUCCAUCAUAUUUCAAAUCUGCUAUUUGCUCUCCAAUUCUCGACAGAUCGUCCAAAGCAACCUAAAAUCGUGUUUACGUGUUUGUUAUCUUGUGGUUUUCCAUAGUAAUUUUUAUAGAAUUGGGUUAUGAAUUUUAUGUUUAUCUUAUUUGAAUUUAUUUUAUUGGAUCUCUUUUAUCCUUUCGGUGCUCAACUUCUGCGCGUCUUGCUGUUGUUUAGAUUCCUCAUUGUAUUUAAAAAAUUUUGGUUUCUUUCACCGUUUGAUUUUUUAAGUUUUCUUCUUGCUGGUUCGACUCGUGCUUUACACUUUGCUGUUUUUAAGAUUCUUCUAUUUUGCUGUUUUUAGACUUUGAUAGCCAUUAUUGUGUAAAAAUGAUUUUUGGACAAAGUGUGAUUAAAAAGUGAAGAAAAAUUUUAUGUUUAAAUGCAAAAUAUUUUAUAAUGAAAAAUGUGAUUAAAAAUAAGUAUGAGAAAUAAUUAUUUUGUUCUAAGGAAAGUCAAACAAGGGUUUAGAUUUGUUACAAAGUUAAUCGGCUUUCUAUUAUUAAGAGUCUGUUUGGGAGUGAUUUUGAGAAUUAAUUUUCUGACAGUUAGAAAAAAAGUGGGAUUCACCUGUAAGAGAAGAAGUCAAAUAUGAUGGCUGAAAUAGUGAAAUAACGGUUAAAAUAUCAAUUUUUUGGGUGAAAAAAUCGAACCCAAACAGGCCCUAACCGUUCUUGUAAUGACAAAUACCAAUUUCCUCUGUCAAUUAUUAUGUUUUGUUUACUUACCUUCUGUUUGGUUCUACCAAAAAGUUAGCAGUAAAAUUCAAGUUAAAAUCAACAAUGAAUUUAAUCAUAUAUUUUAGAGUCUCUUUGAGCUCCAUUUUUAGAGGAGAAUGUAUUUUGAAAUAGAAAAUUGCUAGAAAAUGUGUAAAAAAAAAAUUAAAAAAAAAUUGAAUUGACGUGUAAUAUUAUUUUAUUAAAAAGAAGGAAAAGAAAAAUAUAUUUUGAAAAUAAUGAGAUCAAACAAGAGCUCAUAAAAUUCACAACUUUUCAAUCAUUCUUUUAUGUAAAUUUAUUAAAAAUUUGAUUUUUAUCUAAACCCAUGGAGGCUUAUUAGCUACUCAAUCCAACCCUCAGAAAUAAAAAAAUUAGAACCAUUCUAAAGUCCAUGUUUACUACAUAAUCUUGAUUCACCUCCACCCUCUCGUUCAAUAAUCCAAUCAGUGGCUGAGCCCAACUUUUCAAAUACUAUUUUCAAUGUCACUGAUGUCAAGCGUUAAUCUAAGUUGUAAAUGCAUAAGAUUAAAUGAUUAGAUUCAUUUAAAUAUAUAUCACAUAAUUUAUUUAAUUGAAUCUAUCAAAUUUAGUCACUCACUAGUAUACUAAGACCACUGGUAUCAGAUAGGAGCAAAGUAUUUUGCAGAAUUAUGAUAUUUGUACACUACCAUUGACAUGCUGGUGUACACGCCUCUUACAAGAGGGAGGGGCUCACGCCCAAUUAAAAAAUGCGUGGACCCUCAUGCUAUUUGUACACUAACAUUGACAUGUUGGUGUAUGCGCCCCUUACAAGGAGGGACUCACGCCCAAUUAAAAAAUGUGUGGACCCUCUUUUACGAGGGAAGUGUACAAUGACAUGUCAAUGGUCUACGUAUAGCAAAUCCCUAUUUUGCAUAUCCGAUACUGAGAAUUGUAAUCGAGACAAACUAUACUAUCACAUCAUCCAAGAAUCCAAGAUAAGAACACACACAUAUAUUUGCAUAUAGGGGUGGAGGAACUGACCAGGAGACCAAACGAGAAGGUGCAGACAACGGACAAAGCAAUAGAAAAGGCGGAGAGUUCAAUAUCUCCGAGAUGCCCAACAAACAUGGUGGCCACGGAGCUAGUUCCAUACUGACACAGAAUUUGAAAGGCUAUUGGUCCGCCUAUUCUCCAUAGUUUCGCAGACUCGACGCAGAACACUUUCCACCAUUGUUUAAACCGUCUUACUGGGAGGUAGUCCCCGUCGUCUCCGAUGAGCUGCAACUCGUCGGGCUUCCUAUCAAGUAGCGGUGCCGCCUCCAUCUCGGGCGGAGGGCCGUGAAGACGGGAGGAGAUGAUUCUAGUAUGUGGCUCCUGUGUCGGGUCUUCUCAAAACCGCAGCUGAAUUUAAGUCUACUGUGAUAAACUAUGAGACAGAAACAUAAAUGUGACAAUAAACUUUGUUGAAAUUCUCGAUCUGAAAAAGUCACUAUUUCAACCUUCAAGCACGUUGAAUGAUUGUGGAAAAAUGAAUAAAGAUUUGGAAAUGAUGUGUUGCAUAAGAUUUGAUUGAAUAGGGUGUGAUGCAACAUUAUUAUAUAUGUUAACCAGUGUCUCAAGUUGAUGCCAACUGAGAAUAAAUAAAAGAAUAUUAAUGGUUGUUGCAUAUUUUAGAGUAAUUGUUCAAAUGGUCACUGAAUUUUGUAGAAGGUUUUCAAGGGGUCUUUGAACUUUAAAAAUCACUAAAAUUUGCAAAAGAUUUUUAUAAGGUCACUGAACUUUAAAAAUCACCUAAAUGAUCAUUGAAUUUUGCAAAGAUUUCUCAUGGGUCACUGAAUUUUGCAAAAGGUUUCCCAAAUUUUUGCAAAGUUCAAUAACCAUUUAGGUAAUUUUUAAAGUUCGGUGGCCCUUUGAAAACUUUUUACAAAGUCCAGUAAUCAUUUCGACAAUUUACUCCAUAUUUUAAAAUUACUUUAAAAUUCACUAGAAUUGUCUUGGAGAGCAAGAAAAUAGAAGUUCCUAAAAUUUCUUGAUGAGCAAACAAAAAUAGUAAUUAAAAAUAAAAAAAAAAUCAGAAUUUUCUAAAAUGUCUUGAGAAACAAGUAAUAAAAUGAUGAAAAAAUCAGAAUAUUCUAGAAUAGUUUCCACCACCAUUUUGUGUAUAUAAAUAGGGGCUACUACCUUCAAAAUGUUGUAACAAAAUAAUUCAAAAGAGCAUCCAAUAUCUUGCAUUGUAAAUCAAAAGCCACUUUGUAAAACUUUAGUAAAAUUACUUUCUUCUUCCUUCAACUAUCUUGUUCAAUUAAAUUACUCAUAUCAUUUCUAUUCUACAGAGAAUCUACUUAACCACUUCUAUCUAAACCCAUUUAUUUCUUCUAAUCAAAAUAAAAACCUUCAGUGGUAUCAGAGUUACAUUCGAUUGAUAUUAGGCGUAAGCACAUACUAUGGCAGAUACUUUCCGUUUAUCCAUUCCUAUUCUAACAUUUAAUGGAUACAACUAUGAUCUUUGGUCCAUCAAAAUGAAGACAUACUUUUGUGCGCAAAAAUUAUGGGAUGUCAUCAAUGAUAAGUAUACUAACCCAUAUGACAUUUUCACUCUAUCUACCGCACAAAAGAAAGAACUUAAAGAGAAUUAACAAAAAGAUUCUCUAGUGCUACUUGGUCUACAAAUGAGCUUGAUGGACACUUAUUUUUCAAGAAUCAUGGUAGCCAAAACGGCAAAAGAAGCUUGGGAUAAAUUGAAGGAGAAGUUUCACGACAAUGACAAGGCACGUACUUGCCAUCUUCAAACUUUAAAAAUAAAUUUUGAAAAUUUAAAAAUGAAAUAUUCUGAAACUCCGAAAGAUGAUUAUUCAAGAAUAGAUGAAAUAAUAUAUCAAUUAAGAUCUUAUGGAGAUAAUGUUCCUCAAAAGAAAGUCUUUGGAAAAAUUUUAAUGACUUGCAUAGAAAAAUAUGAUCCAAUUAUUGCAGCUGUUGAGGAGUCAAAAGAUAUAAAAGAAUUGAGAGCUACAGAAUUAAUGGGUUCAUUAGAAGCACAUGAAAAAUAUUUAGAAAGACGUUAUGAGAUUAAUACGGAAAAUGCAUUUCAAUCGAAAGUUAAUAUGAGGUUUUAGAAAUUUAAAGAAGGUGGGAGAAAAUUUAAGAAAAUUGUAAAAAUAAAGAAACUCAAGGAAAAUAAUUUGAUAAAAGCGGUAAUUAUCCUUCAUGUGCUAUAUGUAAAAGAAAAAAGUCAUUUGGAGAAGGAUUGUUAGUUCAAAGGAAAACCACAGUGUCCUCACUGUAAAAAAUUUGGUCACGAAUAAAAAUUUUAUCGUUUUAAACAAAAUUAUCAAGCUAAUUUCUCCGAAGAAAAUGAUAUAGAAGGAAAUCUAUUUUAUGCCACUAUCAAGGAUGCAUCUGAUGACAAAUUGGAUACGUGACAUCUAGAGAGUGAUUAUAGUAAUCAUAUGACGAAAGAUGAAAGUAUUUUCUGCAAUCUUGAUAAAACCAAGGCAAAAAUCAAGAUUGGUAAUGAAAAUUUCAUAGAGCCAACAUGCAAAUGUACUAAUGCUGUUAAUACAAAAAAGUACAAGAGAUAAUCAAUGAAGUUCUCUUAGUCCCUACAAUAGACCAGAAUUUACUAUGUGCAGUCAUAUGAUGGAGAAAGGAUAUAGUUUACAUUUUGAAAGAAAUUCUUGCACGAUCUCUGAUAAAAAAGAUAAAUAUCUUAUAAUUGCAAAAGUCAAAAAAGGGGAAAACAGAUGUUUUCCAAUUCAAUGGAGAUAUGCAAACAAUGCAGCAAUAACAGCACGAGUAGAUGAGUCAUGGCUGUGGUACAAAAGAUUUGGACAUUUUCCACUUCCACAAGUUGAAGAUCUUGCAGCAAAAGAACAUGAUGAGAGACUUACCAGUUAUAAAAGAGAUUGAUGCAGCCACCUCCAAGGUCAUAAUCUAUUCUUCCCACCACAAUCACCACCAAACAACUCCAAUAAAUUCGUAAGUUGCAGCAUAAGUAAUCACUUAUUUUACUUUUGUCUAGAGCCCCUCACUUAAUUCUAUCCCUCCAACCGCUACAACAAUAGAUCCAUUUCGCCUCCAUCUGGAACAAUGUGAACUUCAUCUGAUAAGCAGCAGCUAGAAAGAUUAUGGUUGUAGGUGCAAUUGUUUCUUCAAUUUCAAUUCAUUCCACCUAAGUAUAGCCAUGAACAACCAAUCUAGCUUUAUCUAUGACAAUAUUUCCAUGCUCAUCAGACUUGUUCCUAAAAAUACAUUUUGUGCUAAUCACAUUUGUAUCUUUAGGCCUGGGACGGAAGACCAUAUCCCAUUCAUCUAAAAUUGUUCUUGUUCUUCCUGCAUUGCAUUUAUCCUUAAUACGUCUUCUAGAGCUUUAUUCACGUUUUAGGCUAAAUUCUUAGGUAUAGCAUUGAUGGUUGAUCUUGUUUAUUAAUCUUCUACGUGUGACCAUACUGUCAUUCGAAUCAUCAAAAACACUAUUUCUUGAAUAAGGUUAAUUGCAUAGCGGACAGUGUUAAUGGCUUUAGACGAAACUUCUAUGGGAACUUACUAUGAAGUAUCAUCCUAACCAUUUCUUGGAAUGCUCUAUUUUUCCUUUAAACAAUUCCAGGUUGUUCGUGUGUUUUAGUGACAAAGUUCAUGUGGCAUACCAUACUCAAUACAAAACUCUGAGAAACUUUGAGUUCUCAAAAUUCCUAGUCAUUGUGUUCCUACCACUUUCACAUCAUAUUUUUCAUUCAUCGGUUUCAACCACAAAAUCUUGAAUCUUUCAAAAAUAUCAUAUUUUUUAUGCAAGAAAUCUAUCAUGGGAAUACCCUACAACCUAAUAAUGAUCACAAAUGUCGAAAAAAGUAUUUCAAAAAAAAAAAAAAAACAAAACAGUGAUUUUUAUGCAUUUAAGCUAAAAUAUGAUCACAGUCUUGAAAUAGCCUCAAUACUGUCAUUAAAAUCAGUAUCUCCAUAACUUCCGACCGUCUCAUCGGAGCUUAACGCCGCCAUGACAUCAGCAAGAACAGUCUUCCUGUUCUCAGCAUACGCUUUUCCAUCCCAAUUCUUCUUCACCAGCUCCAUCCCCAGCCUCGCCGCGGCCUCCACUGUCUCCUCUGCGCUAUCAUGUGCAGAGUCAACAAUUCCCCAUUCCACCCCCAUACCCGCCGUGAUUUUGGCGGCUUUCAAAACUACCUCCCUCCAUACCUUGGGGGACGCAAUUUUACUUUUCACUAUUUGCACAAACCAAGAAGGUAUUUUCAUCCGGAUGUCGAGCUCGCUCAUGUAGAGGAAGCCACGAUCAUUGCGCAUCACGACGUAGUCAUGGCUUAAGGCUAAAACGAAGCCAGCGGCGGAGGCGUGGCCGGUGACUAUUACAAUUUAUUGAAUGAAAAAUUUCAAUUGAGGUCCAUAAAAGGAGAAAGAGGAAUUACAAUUGGACACUCCAUGAAGGAGAAACAUAACACUCCAUGAAGGAGGAAAAACAUCUUCAUAAGGAGGAUGAUAACACUCCAUAAGGAGGAAGAGAAACUCCAUGAAAGGAGAAAAUGAAACCUCCAUGGAAGGAGGGAUUGGAAUUCCACAUUCCAAUGAAUAUUCAAUGCACACACGUCUGUAUUUAUAGAGAAAUAUGUAGGGUAAUUAACUAACUAACUUGACUACUAACUACUAAACUAAUUUUGACAGCUGGAAGAAUAUUCUGCCUGAACUGGAAUCUGAUUUGGAAUAUUCAUGCUGAUGUGGAAGCUGCUGGAAUCUGGUGCAAUUGCAUUCCAAC